AUGCAUCUUCAAGGAAGGCAUACAGGAGCAAAUCUGAGUACUGCAUACAUGGGGGAAAUGGCUGGAUGGAAUAUUGAGAAUAAGUUGUUUGCUUUGACCUUGGACAAUGCUGCUUCAAAUGAUGUUUGUGUUGACACCAUCAUCUCUACCCUUAAAAAUCAUGAUUCUCUAUUAUGUCAAGGCAAGUUCUUUCAUGUGCGCUGUGCUACUCAUAUAAUUAACCUCGUUGCUAGGGAUGGUGUGAGCACCAUUGCAUCUAUUAUAGAUAAUGUUCGUGCAUCAGUUCUUAUUGUCAAGAGCUCACCUCAACAACUAGAGAUAUUUAUGAAGCAUGCUACCGAUAUGGGAUUAUGCACAAAAAAGGGUCUUUCUCAAGAUGUGUCUACUAGAUGGAACUCAACCUACUUAAUGCUAGUAGCUGCCAUGCACUAUAAACAGGUUUUCCAAAGGCUUGCUAUUUUGCAACCAUCUAAGUAUCGCAAAUGUGCUCCUAGUAAAGAUGAUUGGGAUAAGGCAAGUGUGGUAUGCUCGUGCUUGAAGAUAUUUUAUAAUGUUACUAAGCUUCUGUCUGGAUCUUACUACCCGACUGCUAACCUGUUCUUUGUUGAAUUCUCUGAGAUUAACAUUCAACUCAUUGAGUGGAUGAAUGCCAAGGGCAAGAAUAAUAACUUCAUUGCUGCCAUGGCAAAAGCUAUGAAGGAAAAAUUUGACAAGUACUGGGAGAUGAGUAAUGUUGCUCUAGCAGUUGGAUGCAUGUUAGAUCCUCGCUACAAGAUGAAAGUGGUUGAUUUUUACUACAAAGAAAUGUCAGACAACUCUGGGGUUGAAGAGAUAGUUGCAUUUAGAGAAGUUGUUCAAGAGUUAUAUGAUUCAUAUGCUUCUCUUUAUAAUCCUACAAUUGGCACAGGAGAACCUUCAUCUAAAGCUUCUCACCUCCACAUGAAUGUAAAUACUGAGCCACGAAAGAAAAAGCUAAGUGCUUUUCUAAAUGAUAUAAGUGAAGUAGACCAAGAUAAGUCUGACUUGGAGAAAUAUUGUAGCGCACCCUUGGUAAGGUGGCCUGAAGGUGAAUAUUUUGACAUUCUAUCUUGA
rnacentral:rRNA from 1 species